rnacentral:misc_RNA from 1 species
CGCAGCCGCGGUAAUUCCAGCUCCAAUAGCGUAUAUUAAAGUUGCUGCAGUUAAAAAGCUCGUAGUUGAAUUUCGGGACUAAUAUGUCGGUCGUGCCUCGGUACGUACUGGCUUAUUGGUUUCUCCUUUCUGAAGAACCAUGAUGUCAUUUAUUUGGUGUCGUGGGGAAUCAGGACUGUUACUUUGAAAAAUUAGAGUGUUUAAAGCAGGCUCACGCUUGAAUACAUUAGCAUGGAAUAAUGAAAUAGGACGUUUGAUUCUAUUUUGUUGGUUUCUAGGAUCGACGUAAUGAUUAAUAGGGAUAGUUGGGGGCAUUAGUAUUCAAUUGUCAGAGGUGAAAUUCUUGGAUUUAUUGAAGACUAACUACUGCGAAAGCAUUUGCCAAGGAUGUUUUCAUUAAUCAAGAACGAAAGUUAGGGGAUCGAAGACGAUCAGAUACCGUCGUAGUCUUAACCAUAAACUAUGCCGACUAGGGAUCGGAUGAUGUUAAUUUUAAUGACUCAUUCGGCGCCUUAAC